rnacentral:lncRNA from 1 species
GAAGAAUUGCCUUUAAAUUAGACCACCCUUAAAGAUUUUCUAGUCUUGGAAAGCUUUCAACUCUUCCAUGCAUCAUAGCUAUUAAAACACAACUUCAACCUUUGAAGCUCACCAGUCAUCACCAAAAAAAUAUCCAAACAUGGUUAUGAAUAAACCUCAUGUGCUUGUUUUGCUAAUAUUUUUUAUUGUUUCAAUUGUUGAGGAGCCAUCAACCGCACAAGGUAGAAUGCUUUCCUUAACAUCUCAUCAAGGUAAUGACAACUUCAGAAUUAUUCUUGGUCUUCCUUUUAUAGGAUCCUUUAUUUAGGGCCUGUAAUGUAAUUUUAGGGGGCUCGAAGGUUUUUGUGACUCUUGGAGUUAUUUGCAAGUGUUGCGAAGGAAUUGAAGGUUCCUGCACAAGGAC